GUCCCCAUCGUCUAGAGGCCAAGGACAUCGCCCUUUCACGGCGGUAACCCGGGUUCGAAUCCCGGUGGGGACG
rfam:Deltaproteobacteria bacterium RIFCSPLOWO2_12_FTLL_43_16 rifcsplowo2_12_scaffold_3495, whole genome shotgun sequence.